CUCGUGAUCUGGUUGUUUAAAGGUGUGUAGUCCCUCCCCCUGCUCCCUCUUCCCCUUUCUCCAGCCUCAUCACAGGUGCUGCUUCCCCUUCACCCUCUGCCGUGAUUGUAAAUUUCCUGAGGCCUCCCCAGCCAUGCUUCCUGUACAGCCUGUUGGACUAGGCUGGAGUGCGGUGGCAUGAUCAUAGCUUACUGCAGCCUCGAACUCCUGGACUCAAGCCACCCUACUGCCUUUGGCCUCCCAAAGCGCUGAGAUUACAUGUGUAAGCCACUGUACCUAGCCACCCUUCACUUCUGAUUUUUGUCAGGUCCAUGUUACUUGUACUAUUAGAUACCAACAUUUUCUUUAAUUUGACAUAAAUUGUCCAAUUUUUAAAACAUAGUCUCAUCGUAAGCAAUGAUAUCUGUGAAAUCUGAGUUUGAGGCAGAUGUUUAAAUAUACCUUAAAAUAAAAACAACUAUAUAAAUAACGCCCCGGCUGGAGUGCAGGGGCGCGAUCUCGGCUCACUGCAAGUGCAGUGAGCCCACCACUGCACUCCAGCUUGGGCAACAGAGCGAGACUUUGUCUCAAACAAAGAAACAAACAAACAAACAGACAGACAAAACAGUGACUCUGAAAUCAGAACUAGAUUCCUAACCAGCUCUCUUAUUUACUGGCUGUGAGCUUUAACCAAGCCAUUUAUGUGAAGAUGUGGUAUUUUUAUCUGUGAAACGUGAAUACUAAUACAAUACAAAGUACCUCAUGCAGCUUAAUAAAGAAGAACUACUUUUAUUAUUAUAACUGUAAUGAAACUAUGUCCUUAUUCUGUUGUAUUCUGAUAAGGAUUUCCUUUUGAGAUCAUAAGCUCAGGGACUCAUCUAUGAGGAGGGGUGGUGUCUUCCAUGAAGGGCUGGAUAUUUUUGAUGAUGAUCAUUCAGGGAAGGCAUGUACCCUCAGUUAGGAAACUGAAAUUAGACCAGAGAACUACCUCCCUCCCUCUCACUGUCCUGCAUCUACAGCUCAAGGAAUCCAGAUACCCUUACAGGCCCUCCUGAAUAGCAAGGUGGAAACAAGGAAGGGGCCACAAGCUGAAGAUGAUAAGCUGUACGGUGUAAACCAGAUCGCAUGUCAUACAGGCAGCAGAUUACAGCAGUGAAGGGUAGAAACCCUGAAGUCAGAACAUCUCCCGUUGUGCAUUUGAAGCAUUAGAAAAGCAAACUCUCCUAGUGGAAGGUGAAUUUCAGGACAGAAGGUGGGGUUUGGCGUCUGAGUGCUUCUGCCCAGGUGGAAUGGGGCUUAUUUCAGUAGAUUUCCUUGCAAGUCCUUUAAACUUCUCGAAGCUUUCAGUUACAUCUAUUGCGCCUCGUGAAAACUCUAAAAUAGGAAGUUUGGACAUUGUUACUUCUAUUUUUAUGAGUUAAUAAGUUUUAAAGAGAUUACAUGACUCGCCCAGGAUCAUGAGAUUAGUAAAUGGCAAUGCCCAAGGAAAAUCCAGUUUUUUUAAAAAAAAAUUAUUCCCAGUCCAGAUUUCAAUUAUCUCCAUAUUAGGAAAGUAAACAGGGCAUGAAGGAUUUUUAAACUAUCAUUUUGCAUUAUUCCCACCACUUACCCUUUCCACUUCACUCACAUCUUAGGUAACUGAGUCAACUGCAUUCAAAAGAAACAUUUUUGGGGGGAGAGGGGAGGGAUAGCAUUAGGAGAUAUACCGAAUGUAAACGACGAGUUAAUGGGUCCAGCACACCAACAUGGCACAUAUAUACAUACGUAACAAACCUGCACGUUGUGCACAUGUAUCCUAGAACUUAAAGUAUGAUUAAAAAAAAGUAAAAAUAAGUAAAUAAAUAAAUUCCUUUAAACAAAAAGAAACAUUUUCUGUGUUCCUCACGGACACAUCACUGAUGGCUGUCUGAACAGAUUCAACUCACUAUAAAUUCAAGCAUGCAAAAGGACAUAACCUGUACAUAUCCACCUGGCUCCAUAGAGUAAUUAAGCAAAUAAGUGUCAUUGUCUAAAACUAUGUGCUUGCUUUUCUGAUUUAGCCCUAAGUUUAUAUAUCCAUGAGUGGGAUCAAAAACGAUUUUCCGAUUCUAAAUUUCUGAAAAUCACGAUGAGAUGUUUAAGUGAAAAAAUGCUUUGGCAGCAUACAAUAUUACAAGUUACUCAAGUAUUACAAGUUAACAAGUUACUCAAGCUAUAGCUCAGAAGCCAUAUACAUAUAUAUGUGUAUAUAUGUAGAGUAUAUAUGUAUAUAUACACAUAUAUGUAGAGUAUACAUAUACGUAGAUGUAUAUAUACUCUACAUAUAUGUAUACGUAUACAUAUACGUAUAUGUAUACGUAUAUGUAUAUAUACAUCUAUCUAUCUAUCUAUCUAUAUAUAUAUAUAUAUUUUUUAAGAU
rnacentral:lncRNA from 10 species